CCCGUGCAGUGUCGCGGGAUUUAACAUUGAUAUAUUAUUGACUUACUUCACUUGAACAUGAUAUGAACAAUUUAAUCUAGCCUCUCUGCAUAUCAUGUCGUUUCUACACUAUGUAGUUACACUUAACUUUAAAGCAUGAGGCAAUUGUGUUAAAUACACGCAAGAUGCUUACGUAAGAGCUGGCCAAUCCCUUUUUUUCACUAUAGUGAAAGUCAGAAACCUCAAGUAACCAUUCGUCAGCUGGAUGGGGAAUACACAUUUUUACCUAGCAACCAGUGGUUACCAUGGGGUCACUUAUCAGACUCAGGGCCUGCAUGACUGGGUCUUAGCAACUGAGUUUUCAUCAACUCUGCCAACCAACCAGUGUGGGAAUGCUCAUUCUUUUCUUGCUAGUUAUCGGUGGUUGCCAAAUGGUCACCAAUUUUUUGUUGUUUUUUUAUUUUGUUUUUCUCGCUAUUUGUUUGUUUGUUUGUUUGUGUUUUCAAGUUUUACCCUGGCCUGGUGAUGGGGAAGGAGGGCUUACUAUAUUUCCAAAUUUUCCCAAGAGUCUUGCAAAGUUUGUUCGCUUUGCCCUUGCAGUCAUGAAGCUGUUACUAAUUAAAUACUAGGAUAUUUUUUCAGGUGGGAAUUAACGGGGGAAGGGGGGGCAUUUGAUGGCAUCAAUAAAGUUAUACAAAAUAAAACACAGGGUGCAAAAAACUUGAGUGCAGCUGUGUAGAAGAGCUGGUGAGCAAGGCUGAUUUCCAAAGCUCUGCUCUCAAUAACGGAGAAAAACCUGACAUUUUAGUAGGUUACCAGACUCGUGACAGAUUACAUUGGUAUGAUACUUCAUGAUAAAGCCAAGUUUUCUGUAACCCUUGAUCUGGGAUCAUGUUAUUGUUUAUAAUGGCAUCAAGCAAACCAUACUAAAUAACUGCAAUGCUCAUUAAAACUCCAAAUUAAAUCCAGGUUAUAAAGUGUAUAUGAAUCCAGUAAAGCUGGCUUUUUCUUAUUGCAAUAAAAGCCUAC
ensembl:lncRNA